AAGCCCUUGAGCCGACGACGGGAC
rnacentral:siRNA from 1 species